GGUCAUUUAGAUUAAUGAAUCUCAGGUCUGCGAUAUCUUUUCUUCCUGUUAAGUGUAAACUGCACCGAAGAUCUCUUACGUGAUACUGCCUUCCAAAUCAUAUCUACAGCAUCACCAGGCUGAGAUGGAUACUGAUAUUCAAACUGCGGUGCAAUAUCCUUUAGUCUUUCCCACAUCAUGGUCCACUUGUCUCGCUCAAUACUCCGAAGAAGAUUCAGUAGGUAACCUUUCUUAACAGCAUCAGAUGCACGCACAAAUACACUGAAUUUUGAGUAGUCUA
rnacentral:misc_RNA from 1 species